GUUAUGAACCAAGGUGACUUGACUCCAGAGUUACAACCCCACUAAUGAGAAGUGAUUUUUGGCCACGUUGAAGUCAUGACCGGUUUCUCUGGGAAGUCAACAGAAGUUUGGCAGGUGCGUGAGCUCUGCAGGGCAGAGAGCAAGAGGAGAGGUGAGCUCAGAAGGUAAUUGUAAAAUUUGGACACCUCUCUGCAGCUUUAAUGACUCAAACCUAAAAUAGUACUCAGGGAAAGACAGAGUUUGGAAGAAUUUUGAAUUGGGAGUUGGCUAUUUUGGUUGUUUUCUUCUGAUCUGGAAACACUGGGGGAGGGGUGGUUCUUCUGCUGAAGUAAACAGGAAUUUGUACACAAAGCAGGACUCACAUAAGAGUAAGGGGAUGUCCUACCAAUGCCCACGAUGACCCACUAACAUCCAGAUUUCUACAGUGGAGUUCCCUGGCCUUUACAUAGCAGUGGGCAAGUCCAUGAGAAACAAUCUGGCAGGUGGAAUAAGGAAAAAUGGAAGCAUGAUGUGGAUUUUAUUUUCUUUGCAUCUCUUUGUUUUGAUCAUACUGCUCUUUAUCAGAAUGACUUUCUCCAAUUUCCUCAGCCCAGCAGUUUGAAUAUUUGCAUGAAGUAGGCACAUAUCACUACAUAUGAACCAUGAAAUGUAUUUGAAAAUAAAUGUUUUAAUUAAAAUUGACAUUUCUGAG
rnacentral:lncRNA from 1 species